CGAUUGAAAUGCGGUGUCUUCGACUUGUAAAGAACUGCCUGACAUCAGGAGUAAUAUGGCCACAGCGCAGAAUGAGUUCGUCGGUGAUCUGCUGUAGAGGAGAGGCCGCUCCGGCUAAGGUACCCAUCAAGUGGUUGCAACAAAGUUCGGUGCCCUACAAAAUUGUGGUCCUGGAAAGGGCCACCCUCGAAUCUGAAGAAAUGCGCCCAGUUUACCCUCCUCCAACCCUCAGCAAGGAGUUGAGCGAGCAGGAGCUGGGCGAAGACCCCUUGGUAGUAGGGAUUAUGUUGGAUGUCAUCGGGGAGGAGUUCACGAUCGCAACUAAGGGCACCGCACCUCGUACGGUCAUCAUCACACUGUACCCGCCUGACUCUGAACCGGAUUCCCUGCUCGGUUAGCAUCAGACAAACCUGUGCCACUGAAGAACUCAGAUGCUCAGAUACCCUAGUAGCGCCCAUACACAUUGCAUAAGCAUAUUAAAAUGCUCAUAAAAGACAGCAUCUAUUGUCCAAGCCGCCCAUAGCAUGAGGUGCCAAUGAAAACACCAUAUUACUGAGGACUCAGGUUCAACCAAAAUGAGCCGGAAACAGGUCAAUAACAUUGAAUUUGAUUCUAAUAAUUUUCAGAUUGUAAAGGCCAGAAUAUAAUCUAGCUAAUGACCAUAUGUAAAGAAGGUAAAUUACUUGAAGAAGCACAUAGCUCCCAAACUGACGGUCUUUUCGUACCAAGGGUAAGGAAGUAGGCGUGAACUGGUCAACUGUACAAACUUCUUCUGAAACAAGCAGAAGUGGCCCUAAAAAAUAGCUGGAUAGAGUGUAAGUCUGGCCUGCUUGGUGCAAAUGUUUUCUAAAGACCAUAAUGCAUUUUCUGGAUAUUCCGAAAAGUUGGUCCAAAUGCUCGCCUAAAAGUGAGGGAGUCUAAGCUAGUCCGAUGGACCAAACCAGCAGGAGCAGGGUAAGGAGAAGAACAAACCAAAAACACAACUUUUGGAUAGGAUUUUUUAAAAACAAAAAUUUACCCCUUUUCAAUGUCAAAAAUAGACUUUACACUAAAAAGAAACAACA